GGUGGCGCAGGCGCUUUAGAAGACGGGAAAGCGGGUGCGCCACGCUGCGCUCGGUUGUUGUUGUUUCCCCCCCCCCCCUCCUUCUCUCUCCCUCUCUCGUAGGCCCUGCAAAGCGGUUCUCUGAGGUGACCGUUGGUGCAAGAGCCGGAGUCGAAGGAGAGGAACAGGAAAAAGCGGAGGCUUGUCGUUCGCCUCCCGGUGUCCAGAGGGAGCUCUGCUCCUUGCUUUCUUUGGACCAGCAAAGACGGGAAAGAGAAAAUCGCCUUUCGCCGCCUCUGAUUUCCUAUUUUCCUGGCCGUGUCCUAGGCGGUAGGCGUACUUUUCUGAAAUAGUAAUGACUAACGACGUGAGGAUCUGAGGAAGUUACCUGGCUGGCGUGCAGCUAUAGGUCCGCAACUUGUCAAUAUUUUCCUUUCUGAACAACCUUUUUGAAACCUGAGAUUUCUCCACAUCUGGAUUUAGUUGUCUGUUAUAAGAAUCAGAUCUGCCUAGUCUUGUGAUGGCGAACCUAUGGCAUGCGUGGCACACAGAGUCAUUUCUGCCGGCACACGAGAGCUCACCCAGAACAGAUCCACUGCGCAUGCACGGGUACCCCCCUGCCAGCCGAUUGUCAGGUAUCUACUACGCACGCGUGGGGGAAGAUGCACGCUGGGGAGACACGCUUGGGAGAACGCAUGCGCAUGCACAGGGGGUGGGGAUGUGGGGGGUCACAUGCAU